rnacentral:lncRNA from 1 species
UCUUUUUACGACCUCUGGUCAAAGAAGGCUUAUAUUAUAUAUAUAUGGAACAAUUAUAAAAUGAAACUUGCUCUAAAAGGGGGAACCUGAAACCUCUGAGACUUAAAGUGUUCAAGACUUAAUUGAUUUUGGAAGCUUGUACUCUUCGUUAAUGUUAUUGCUUAAAUACAGAAAGGAGCACUACUUACAUUAAAGGAGCACUACUUCAACAUGGAGGAACACCCUUCUCAACUAACAACAUGGAAUAGAAAGUGCUUCCUACAUCAAAGGAGCACUACUUCAACAUGGAGAAACACCCUCAACUAACAACAUGAAAUAGAAAGUGGAGGAAUACCCUCCUACAAAUAGGGAACAAUUUAACUAAAAGAUAGCUGAAAAAAUAACUGAAAUAUUUGACUAAUUUAGAGGCUCAACAUGUGGUUGCUUUGACUUGGAUCCAUGACUGAAUCGGGUAUAGACUUGCAGUGGUUUGGUAACAUUACUUCUCGCCUCCAAAGGAAGCUUGUCCUCAAGCUGAAAAUUUGGAUAUUUGGCGUAGAAUGCCUGCACCUUCUCCCAUGAAGCAUCGGAUGGCGUUAAAUGAAAUCUCUUGUUGUUCUAGCUCCGGAUCAGAAUUUGUGUCCUCUAUUUCUUCGGUCUCCACCAAGUCUAUCCAGAAAAGCUUUUUACAAAACACAGUCCCUUUUUCCGUCUUUCUUCUAUCUCCUCAGGGUUUAGUUGCUUCACCAAUCGGUUGGCAUGAGGUGCAGAUGUGAAGGCAGCGCUAAAAGUGUCUCUCACAGCCAAGAACUUGGGAAAAGUUUCCGUUCAUAUAGCCGGGAGAUGCUCAUUGCAUUCACCAAAUCUUUUGGAUGAUGUAGCUCGACCUCAACAGCAAUGGAGUCCUACAAUCAACUGAGGUACAACUGGACCUUUUGAUCCUGCGUGAGGGUGCCAGUGCGUGACACCAAGGCUUCGAAAUGGUUCUGAUAUUUUGCAACAGAACCAAUUUGCUUUAGCUUUGCCAAUUCGCCUAAUUUAUUGCUGCGGAUUGGAGGCCCAAAAUGAAGAUUGCAUUGAUGUGUGAACUCAUCCCAAUUGGGAUCUAGAAUGUCAUCCAGCAGCUGAGCAAUCCCCUCCAAAUGGUACGAAGCUAAACUCACCUUCUCCUCUUCGGGUGUUUGUUGGUGCCUAAAAAAAUACUGGCAUCGGGCAAGCCACCCCAAAGGGUCUUCAAGCCCAUCAUAACGAGGAAAAUCAAGCUUUGUGAAUUUCGGUACUAUUGAAAUUCCUCCCGAACUUUCGGAAACCGAAGCACCUGAAAUUCCCGUAUCUCUCCUUGAUUUUGCUUGACUGCCAGUGGUGCUAGAUUGCAACCCUUUCUUAGUUGAUUCCAAUUCCUAAGACAUUGCAUCCAAUUUGGCGUGCAAUUGCUCAACUUUUUCAUUUCGGUCUUUGUUUGCUUGCUGCUCGGCCAACAACAAUUCAAAGAGCUUGGCGAGUUGAUCUUGAACAGAGUCCCCCAUAACUGCACGCUCUGAUACCAAACUGUUAUGGCCCCUAGUUGUGGAUCUGGUUAUGGGUCUGUGGGCUAGGGGUAUAGUUGGAGUUUGAGUGUUUGAGUUAAGAGUCUUUUUACGACCUCUGGUCAUUAACAAUUCAGGCUCUAAAAGAGAGAACCUGAAACCUCUGAGACUUAAAGAGCUCAAGACUUAAUUGAUUUUGAAAACUUGUACUCUUCAUUAAUGUUAUUGCUUAAAUACAGAAAGGAAGUAUAACUGCUUCCUAUUUUAAAGGAGCACUACUUCAACAUGGAGGAACACCCUCCUCAACUAACAACAUGAAAUAGAAAGUGCUUCCUACAUCAAAGGAGCACUACUUCAACAUGGAGAAACACCCUCCUCAACUAACAACAUGAAAUAGAAAGUGGAGGAAUACCCUCCUACAAACAGGGAACAAUUUAACUAAAAGAUAGCUGAAAAAAUAACUGAAAUAUUUGACUAAUUUAGAGGCUCAAUAUGUGGCUGCUUUGACUUGGGUCCAUGACUGAAUCGGGUAUAGACUUGCCGUGGUUUGGUAACAUAUUCCAAUGCUUUUUAAUAUAUGUUUUUUGAAAGUAUAAUAUUCUAAUGUUUGUUAACAUUUUUAAAGGCUGAACUAAACCAUGACCAUCUUGCCUUGUGAUUUCACAUUUUCAUUGCGUGUUUGUUUGGUUGGUUGUUUUUAUUUAAAGUAUGUUCAUGUCUUUGAGCUUCUUUUCAUUGCAAUUAUAUUUAUGUUCAAUAACUAUUAUUAUGUUGAUUAAUUUAUAUGGAUUAUGUGUUUGUUUCAGUUUUAACUUCAUUUAUGUUUUUAUUUAUGAUUUAUUUCAUUUACUUGAUUAUUUUAAACUUUAGAAUUUUUCAUAUUUUAAACAAUUUGGGGUUGUGGUUUUUUACCCAUGAAUCUAUUAUGUGGUUAAUGUUUCAAUAAAAUUAGUUAAAGCUGAUUGGAAAUUCGGGCAGGUUUGGGUAGUAUGUGGGUAAUGUUAAACGGAUGUGGGAUGGAUACAGGUAGUGAAAGAUAAUUUCUAAAUGGGUUUGGGCACUACAUAUGUAAACGGGUUUGGGGUUGGGUAUCCUAAUUUCCAUGGGUACCCUAUCCGGUGCCAUUUCUAAUCAUAGGUUCAACUCCAUUUUGUACUGAAUUAUAUUGCAGCGUGACUGUUCCAGUUCAAUACAUGCAGGUGGUGGUAAAUGUUUCUGAUUAGGGGCAGUGGUCAGAAAGAACUUAAUAUCAAUUUCAAUAAUUCACCAUUUGACUAUUAAAAAUCUGGAUAUGGUUUUUGAACCCUACCACUGAAGAGGAAUCUAUCAUGUUUCUAAGGUAGCAAAUUGUUGUAUUUGGAUAACUAGUUUUAAAGACGGCUCUACAUAACAUUUGCUUGAAUAAUAAUUAGCUGUAGAAAUCCAUAUAGAGUGGUGCAAUAAAGUUUUCAAAAAUUGAUGUAAUAUUCACAUUUAUACAGAUGUUGAAGGUAAGAUUUCUGCACACUGCAUCUGCAUGCAAUAUCACAAGAGAUUCAUUUUUUUUGCUAUCAUUGGAG